rnacentral:rRNA from 1 species
NNNNNNNNNNGGAUUCCCCUAGUAACUGCGAGUGAAGCGGGAAAAGCUCAAAUUUAAAAUCUGGCGGUCUUUGGCUGUCCGAGUUGUAAUCUAGAGAAGUGUUUUCCGCGCUGGACCGUGUACAAGUUCCUUGGAAUAGGACAUCAUGGAGGGUGAGAAUCCCGUCUUUGACACGGACUACCAGUGCUUUGUGAUGCGCUCUCAAAGAGUCGAGUUGUUUGGGAAUGCAGCUCAAAAUGGGUGGUAAAUUCCAUCUAAAGCUAAAUAUUGGCGAGAGACCGAUAGCGAACAAGUACCGUGAGGGAAAGAUGAAAAGCACUUUGGAAAGAGAGUUAAACAGUACGUGAAAUUGCUGAAAGGGAAACACUUGAAGUCAGUCGCGUUAUUCAGAACUCAGCCUGGCUCCCGCUUGGUGUAUUUUCUGUUUGACGGGCCAGCAUCAAUUUUGACCAUUGGAAAAAGGCCAGAGGAAUGUGGCAUCUUCGGGUGUGUUAUAGCCUCUGGUUGCAUACAAUGGUUGGGAUUGAGGAUCUCAGCAUGCCUUUUGGCCGGGGUUCGCCCACGUUCAUGCUUAGGAUGCUGGCGUAAUGGCUUUAAAUGACCCGUCUUGAAACACGGACCAAGGAGUCUAACAUGCCUGCGAGUGUUUGGGUGGAAAACCCGAGCGCGCAAUGAAAGUGAAAGUCGGGAUCUCUGUCGUGGGGAGCACCGACGCCCGGACCAGACCUUUUGUGACGGCUCCGCGGUAGAGCAUGUAUGUUGGGACCCGAAAGAUGGUGAACUAUGCCUGAAUAGGGUGAAGCCAGAGGAAACUCUGGUGGAGGCUCGUAGCGAUUCUGACGUGCAAAUCGAUCGUCAAAUUUGGGUAUAGGGGCGAAAGACUAAUCGAACCNNNNNNNNNNNNNNNNNNNNN